GUAACCGUGGUCAUGCCUAAAAC
rnacentral:siRNA from 1 species